CUUCUUCAUGCAGAAAUGGGAUCAAUGGCAGAUGAAUUGGAUCCAUGUUGAACAAUCAUUGGUGAACACAGGAAAGGAAAGGGCAAAAGUCAGCCUUCUUUUUACAUGGGAGGAAGGCAAUGUUGCCAACCAGAGGGAACAUCUAAUUCUUCUCCUUGCCAAUAUUCACAUUCAGAAAGCUAAUAAGCAGUCUGUCUUGAAGAGUUAUACACAGUAUAUCCCUUUGCCAAUCAGUGACCUUGAUUCUUGGUUGAAGACACCCUCCAUAUAUGUUUUUGAUUGCUCUGCGGCUGGGGGAAUAUUGUGAAUGCUUUUAUUGAGCUUCAUGAUUGGGUUGCUUCUAGCUCCUCUGGAUCCACAAGGGAGUACAUUCUUCUUGGAGCUUGUGAAGCACAUGAGACUCUUCCACAAAGUGCUGAAUUUCCUGCAGAUGUGUUUAUGUCUUGUCUCACAACACCUAUUAAGAUGGCUUUGAGAUGGAUCUUGCAGGCAAAGGACACCAAGUGAAUUAGAUAGAGAGGUUAAGAACUUGAGGGUGGCAUUUACUGACCUGUUUUUGAAGCAUAACACUUUCAAAGAAACUGCAAAGCCAUCGAGAUAUUGAUGCAAAGAAUGGAAGAAUGUAUUUCACUAAUUUUUGUAUACAUUUCUUGUUUUGUAUUUAGUGAUAAAGGAAUCUGAAUUGGGCAUAAAUUAUGUUGUAAUAUGAUUUUUUAAGCCUAGACUAGUAGAUUAAAUAUUGUAAUUACAUUUGAGUAAUUAAUAAAAAUCUAUUUAUGUUAUCUUA